rnacentral:lncRNA from 10 species
GUUAGAACCCCGCGAGGCAGGGUGAGGGGCGCCACCGAGGAAGCGCCCACCGGGCUCCCGGGGCUGCCAGGCCCCAAAUUGAGGAAGUUGACUGCCAGAUCACACUCUGUUGGCCCACGCAGAUAGAUUCCAUUCAUCCUUUCUAAUGUCUACACCAUAUUUUGGAUAACAUGCCAUCAUCUCACAUUGUGUUGAAAGAAGAAACCAGAAUGUUGGGGUUGAUGUAUGCCAUAUGGAUGAAUUUAAACAGUUUCGGCCUUGCAAUAAUUGGUAUACUUCUAAUUGCAUGUGAAAUUAUACUCUUUUUAACGAAAGAUGAAACUAUUCAGUGGCCACAUGUACCCAGUAACAGAGGGAGCAAAGCAAAUCUUAUCCUCAAAGAACUGCAGCUGCUUGUUAGAUCUACCUGGUGGUUCCAUAGAGAAACUGCUCAGAGAACCUGCCUUUACCUCGCCUAAAACAGAACUAUCCCGGAGCUCAGUUCAUCAACUCAGGAUCCAGUAGUGUAAUACAGAAGCCUGUUACGAGAUAUAAGGCACUUUGCCCUCGGAAAUCUCACUGUCGGAAUCCUUGGAAAUCACACCACGCACAACUUCUAUUUCUUCAUAAUUUGCAAAGAACCAGUGUGACUCCAGUCAAGAACAAAAGAUUAAUUGUGAAUUAGCGAAGAACUCUAAUUUUUUCAAGCAGCCACAUGGAAAACGCAUUCUAAUGAAAUCCUUUCCAUUGCUCUUUUUUCUUAGUUCUUCAAUAAAGCAUGCGAUUUGAUCACAAAUUGACUCUUCCCUUUUUAAAAGCCAGUAUGGGUUAACACGGAUAAAUAUAGCCCCUGCAAUCCCUGUGGUUGAAGGGAUGUAGGAGAGUAGUGUUGAAUGCCCACUUUAUCUUAGGUUGGAGGAGAUUGGCUUGAAUUAAGGAACUCC